GCAAGGGCCCUGCACAGGUGGUGCAUGGCUGUCGUCAGCUCGUGUCGUGAGAUGUUGGGUUAAGUCCCGCAACGAGCGCAACCCUUGUCAUUAGUUGCCAUCAUUUGGUUGGGCACUCUAAUGAGACUGCCGGUGACAAACCGGAGGAAGGUGGGGAUGACGUCAAGUCCUCAUGGCCCUUAUGGGUAGGGCCUUCACACGUCAUACAAUGGUCGGUACAGAGGGUUGCCAACCCGCGAGGGGGAGCUAAUCCCACAAAGCCGAUCGUAGUCCGGAUCGCAGUCUGCAACUCGACUGCGUGAAGUCGGAAUCGCUAGUAAUCGUGGAUCAGCAUGUCACGGUGAAUACGUUCCCGGGUCUU
rnacentral:rRNA from 1 species